UUAAAAUUUUAUUUAAAAUAGAAUUUUGGGUUUCCAAAUUUUCAGAUUCUACAGUUUAUAGUUGGAUUUUUAACAGAGAGUUUGGUUUGUAUUGCCAGCUAUAAACCCUAGUGACCAAGUCAGGGGAAGAGAGAGAGAGAGAGAGAGAGAGACUGGAGAUGGGAGUGGCGAGCAAAGCAGGGGACUGGGCAUUCAAGGCCUUCACGGCGGGCCUCGGCGUCGCCACCAUCUAUCUCGCCGCCACCUUCUCCGUCAAUGUCUACCGCGGCCUCUCCUGGCAUAACGCCCAAUCGAAAAUCAAGGAGGGAGGAUCUAACAACCAGAACCCAUAAUAAUUUUUUGCUGUUUAUAACUAGAUCAUAUGUAUUAAGUUCAAUUGUUCAAGUGAACAUUGUGAGAUUUAUGCAAUAUUUUAAUCUAGUGAUUAGGUAUUUUUGGCCUAACUCUUGCUUGCUCAAUUUUCUUUUUUCAUCUAUUUUGGUAAAAUUGUAAGUGGGCCACCAGACAAUUGCUUUGAACAAAUAUCAAACAAGAACAACAUUUGAGUGGUGUUUUCA